GCAUUAAUGGGGUAGUGGUAACCUGGGUCGUUGCCACAUUCGAGUGUCAACUCGACCCGCCGGGGGUUCGAUUCCCUCUUAAUGCA